rnacentral:rRNA from 1 species
GAUGAACGCUGGCGGCGUGCCUAAUACAUGCAAGUCGAGCGAACGGACGAGAAGCUUGCUUCUCUGAUGUUAGCGGCGGACGGGUGAGUAACACGUGGAUAACCUACCUAUAAGACUGGGAUAACUUCGGGAAACCGGAGCUAAUACCGGAUAAUAUUUUGAACCGCAUGGUUCAAAAGUGAAAGACGGUCUUGCUGUCACUUAUAGAUGGAUCCGCGCUGCAUUAGCUAGUUGGUAAGGUAACGGCUUACCAAGGCAACGAUGCAUAGCCGACCUGAGAGGGUGAUCGGCCACACUGGAACUGAGACACGGUCCAGACUCCUACGGGAGGCAGCAGUAGGGAAUCUUCCGCAAUGGGCGAAAGCCUGACGGAGCAACGCCGCGUGAGUGAUGAAGGUCUUCGGAUCGUAAAACUCUGUUAUUAGGGAAGAACAUAUGUGUAAGUAACUGUGCAAGUCUUGACGGUACCUAAUCAGAAAGCCACGGCUAACUACGUG